rnacentral:lncRNA from 1 species
GAAGCAGCAAUGCUUUGGCAUUGAAGAAGUAAACUAACUACUCAAGAGGCCACAUGCCUGCAAACAGAAGCUUGAGAAAUGCUUGUAACCGGAGCUAGAGGAGUUGCUAGGUGCUACAAACAUUCAAAAACGGUACAGAGCAGUUUACAUAACAACAGCUGGGUCUGCUUGGGGUCAGGAUAAACUCGGAAAAAGAUUCUAAAGAGGUAUCUGAAGCAGUGCUGAGGAGGAACCAAGCAAAACCAGCAGAGUAAGAGAGUAGCUGGAACUAGGAGACUUGGAGAGGGGGAGGCAGGCAGCUCUCACUCCCCGAGGGAAGUGAUAUCUGCCUCUUUUCAGUAAAGCUAAACAAGCUCUCAGAGUCAACUUGGACACUGAGGGGUUCUUGGGGUUGUUUAAUACGUCCCCCAAAACCUGCUAAUUUGCUUGCCUGUGUGAGGCUCAGGAAGUCUGCUGUGUGAGGCUCAGAAAUUUUGAGUACUCACAUAGUGGCAGAGAUUUGUGUAUACACCCCCCUCCUUUAGGAGUAGCGAGGACUCCUUAUAUCUAAACAUUUGCACAUUUCUCUUUUCUUUAUCAACACAGUCUAAAGAUUAAGAGUCUGUGCUUGGGUCUGCACGUUUGCUCCACCUCACCUGAAACUGAAACAAUAUGCAUUUAGUUAUGUUAUGACCAUCCUACCAGAUGCUGUUUUCCAUAUGAGCAAGUAUGUUAGAACUGGAAUUGCUGAGUUAAAUAAUAAAUUUAUUAUUUGAAGAGAUAUUUUAAAAUCAUACUUAAAAAGAUCAUGCUCCUUCUAUAAUUGUGUUGUUGCCAUUUUUUUUUAGCAAAAAUAAGGAAUUCCAUAAAUUCAAAAUGUAUUGGAAAAAUAAGGUUGUAAGAGUAAUGGACAUAUAGAAACUAUGUACAUAUAGAGAAGUUACAAAUUCUUGCCUAACUUCAUUUUACAUAGCCAAAACUGAUGAAGGGAAACCUGCUUUGUAUGAUUGUUUUAAUCAUUGUUCUUUAUGUACAAUUUGGUACAUAACUCCUAGAACACCUAGCUUCAACAAUUUAAACUGUAGUUGGCCCAGUCAUGUUUUCCUCCAUUCAUAACUGUAGAAUCAGUUUGACUGGCCAGCAAGUAGAUUCAGAAGAAACUACACUGUGCUUUUUGAGUAUUUGUCACUGUUUUUCCACACGAAAAUGGUUUCUAGAUAUUUGUGUUGAUUCAUUGUAGAUACAACACACUAUGGGAGGCCUAAUUGAUGCCAUGUGAGGGACAGAGACUGAGAGACAGAGACAGAUAGAGAUACAGAGACAGAGUCAGAAGGAGGGGGUUGAAAGAGAGUCUGUUGAGUUUCACAGUAUGGUUUUGGAGGUGAGCAAGUUCUAAAACUAAUCCAAAAUUUCAGAGGGAAAGCAUUAGAAGUCCUUGCACUAUAACAUCCCAGUGUAGGCGAUAUGAUACACACUUCUGUUCUUACCCAUUCUGCCUGUUACAGCCAGUGCUGUGCCUUCCACACUGGGUGUCCCUUAAAGAGCUGAAGAGCUGGCGCCCUGGUCAGGCUUUCAGGUGGUUUUCUAGUUUUCUGGUAUUUGUUGGUCUUCUCAUUUAUAAGUUGAGGAUGUGGAUAUUCAAAAAGGUACUGAGUUAGGCUGGCAUUUCCUCAUGCCUGACACAUAUUGGCCUCUCAGUUGUUACAAAUGAUCUGCAUUCCAUUUACAGGAAGACUAUUAAAGCUAUAAAAAAAAAUUGAUCAUUUGUCUCCUUUAUUACUGGGACUUAACAACCACUUCUAAUAUUAAUAAGGCUUUAAUACUCAAUUAGUUAACAGGUUUUGUUGUGCAUAGCAGAUUAUCGGAGAAAACUACCACAGGUAGACGAUAGGAAGGAUACAGUGAUGCAUGAAGAAGGAGUUGUUUGCUAUUGACAAAACUAUUGCAGGUCUCACUAAUUAUCUAUGAUAAAUAUUAAAUUAGGAUAUAUUUAACUGACUAGUAGGAAAUACAUUUUUCCUAAUUUUCUAGAUUUUUACAAGGAAAUGGUCUAUCCUCACUCUGUGCUCUUAUUAUUUUAUUACUCUUAUCCACUCUUUCUUAUUUUCUUUAACACUCCCUUAAUGUACACACGUACAGCUUUAUUUUUUUUUUUUUUGCUCUGUGGAUUGGCAUCAUCCUAUCUGUUUAUUUACUUUCUAACUGGAUUGUAAAGGAAGAUAUUACAUGGUUUGGGGCAUGAAACUGUAGAUUCUUAUUGUCACCUCUAAAAUUCAAACAUAUACUGGACUUCAGUAAGGCACGUGCUUCUAUCACUGUGUCUUCCAUUAUAGGGUAGAAUUUCAGAAAGUGGCUUCGGUCAAAAACUCUGCUCUGAAGCUGUUAUCUUCCCAGCUGAGUAGUUGGGCGAGUUGCUUCACCCAUCCCUAACACAGGCUGCUGUCUUCUAAGGAUGAUAUGCAUCCUGAAGUGACUGGACACAAUAGAGCAGUCGGAAUUGAUGAUAAAAUAGUCCUGCACAGAAAGCUUAUUCAAUCCUGUUCCUGUCAACGUGUAAGCUCUUAAGAAAUGUGGAUAUUGUUUAUAUAUUUCAUAUUUAAACUUUUCUGUCCAAAUAUAAUUUAUGUGCUCACACUGGUACAGAAAAGAGAAGGCACAGAUUAUUCAAAACUGUGAGACUGCCGGCUAUAGAGUCUUUCCUCUUCACCUUUUCUUCCAUACAAUAAAUGGAAUAUGCAUGUAGGUUCCUUGUUAUCAUUUAUUUGGCAGAACCUUGAGGCUAUUCAUUGUAGACAAGUCAUGUACAAACUCCAAGACUAUGCUUUAAUUACAAUAUCAUAUUCAUUAUGAUAGAGUUCUUAUCUGAUAAUGAAAAAAAAUAGUUGUAUUGAAAAUCUGAAGCAACAUUUAAAUUUGAAUGUAAAAUGAAAGCAACAAAUAAGACACAUUCUAGCCUAUUGUUCACAGUGUCUGAGAACAACUGGUUAGGUCAUGGGUGUAGGAGUGCUAAUCUGUGGAUGCACAAAGAAUGACUUGGGGUAGCUCCAGUAGAUUUACAUGGACUACAGUGACAUCAAUAUAAAAGAAACGAAAGAAAACAAACAUGGUGUGACUUCAGAGGGAUACCAGAUUUGAGGGAUGUCAUAUUGUGUAACUGCCUGCUUACAACACAUCCCUGGCUUUUCUGUAUAUUUAGGUUAAAGAUGAGCUUUUAGCCUAGCACUUAAGGUUUUUAAGACUUUCUUAAACAGUUUUCUUGGAGUCCAUGUUGAAGCAAAACAUCUAAGUGUAUUAUGCCCUUUCCAUUCUCUGGGUUGCCUACUCCCAUCUCCGGCCUCUUAUGCUGCGACACUCCUCCUACGCUCCUAUACACCAGCCUUUAACUGACUGAGUUGUGUUUCCAGCUUCAGAAAGGCUGCUGAGGCCUUUCUUCCUCCAAAGAGUCUCCCUGAGCCUCCUGUUCUUGGAAACAGCUCUGAAGUUCAUUUCAUUGUUGCCUGUUGCCUAUUUAUUCUUGUUUCUCUUUGUCCAAGAGUCUCCAUAUUCCUGGAGAGAGGGACUGUGAUCUCAUAAUCUUUCUCUAUUCAAUGUAUCCUGGUAUGUAUUUCCCCAGUACCUGUACACUGAAUAAUCGAAUAAGAAAAAAAUAAAACACAUUUUUUUUGUAAUAAAGAAGACAUAUUUUUAUGUUUAUAUUUAUUUAUCUAGAGGAGAAAUCUGGUAUCAUGGCACACAUGGAGUCCAGAGAACAACAGAAAGGAAUCAGUUUUCUCUUCAUAUCAUGUAGGUCCUCAAUAUGGAGUUUUGGUCAUCAGACUCGGUGGUGCAUUUUCUUACUACCUUAUCUAUCUUCCACGGGCAUAUUUUAAAUAACAAUAUAUAUUCUCAUAUGAAUCAAAGUAACUUUAAAUUAAACAUAGUUUCUUUGAGAAAUUUAGG